GAUUUGGAUGGACGUCCCGGCCAAACUUGAGACCUGGCACGAUGCAGGCUUGCCAGCUCCCUGAAGAUGUUCAGGCUACAUGUGGGACUGAUCUCUCAAAGCGGUGGUGUCCACAUGAGGGUGCACUCGUCCCAGCACAGAAAUGCUGAGACCUUCUCGUUGUGGUGCUGAUGAACGAUGGGUCUGUACUUGAGCAGGCUGUGCGAUACACAUGAGCUGGAUUCAGGAAUGAGUCAGGUUGUGAAUCUGCUGCGUCGCGCCUCUCACCGCUGACAGACUGAUUCUCCAACACACAGUAAGACUCUUUUAAAGCGUCACAUGGAUCACUUUUCAAAGGGGGUCAGCCAAGCAGCACCACUGGCGAUCCUUAACGCCGUGAUCCCACAUCAGUGCCCUGAGAGAUGCCACGCAGGCGUUUCAGGUCGAUGAGCCGCCUGCUGUCCAAAGGGCAACAUUUCAGUCUGGUGGUGUAAAGCAGAGUCUCCUCAGAACAUGUCUAGAGCUGUAAAGUGUUGAGUACAAAUCAUGACCAAAAAAUGUUUCAUACAGUAAUUCAACUGUUGUGCAUUAGUCUUCAAAACAUUUGUGACUUUAGUGUGCAUACCCUGAUUUUAUUUUUAUUUUAUUUUUUUCUCAAUU